UGGGGAAUUUUGGACAAUGGGCGAAAGCCUGAUCCAGCAAUGCCGCGUGUGUGAAGAAGGCCUUCGGGUUGUAAAGCACUUUUGUCCGGAAAGAAAUCCUUGGCUCUAAUACAGUCGGGGGAUGACGGUACCGGAAGAAUAAGCACCGGCUAACUACGUGCCAGCAGCCGCGGUAAUACGUAGGGUGCAAGCGUUAAUCGGAAUUACUGGGCGUAAAGCGUGCGCAGGCGGUUUGCUAAGACCGAUGUGAAAUCCCGGGCUCAACCUGGGAACUGCAUUGGUGACUGGCAGGCUAGAGUAUGGCAGAGGGGGGUAGAAUUCCACGUGUAGCAGUGAAAUGCGUAGAGAUGUGGAGGAAUACCGAUGGCGAAGGCAGCCCCCUGGGCCAAUACUGACGCUCAUGCACGAAAGCGUGGGGAGCAAACAGGAUUAGAUACCCUGGUAGUCCACGCCCUAAACGAUGUCAACUAGUUGUUGGGGAUUCAUUUCCUUAGUAACGUAGCUAACGCGUGAAGUUGACCGCCU
rnacentral:rRNA from 1 species